rnacentral:rRNA from 1 species
GACGAGCGCUGGCGGCGUGCCUACCACAUGCAAGUCGAGCGAUAGACUUCGGUCACUAGCGGCGGACGGGUGCGUAACACGUGGGUAACCUGCCUCAUAGGGGGGGAUAGCCUCCCGAACGGGAGGUUAAUACCGCAUAAUAUGCAUGGAUUGCAUGAUCAAUACUUUAAAGGAGAAAUCCGCUAUGAGAUGGACCCGCGGCGCAUUAGCUAGUGGGAGAGGUAACGGCUCACAAAGGCGACGAUGCGUAGCCGACAUGAGAGGGUGAUCGGUCAAAUUGGAACUGAGAAACGGUCCAGACUACUACGGGAGGCAGGAGUGGGGAAUAUUGCACAAUGGGGGAAACCCUGAUGCAGCAACGCCGCGUGAGUGAAGAAGGCCUUCGGGUUGUAAAGCUCUGUCAUUGGGGACGAUAAUGACGGUACCCAAUGAGGAAGCCACGGCUAACUACGUGCCAGCAGCCGCCGCCGUAA